UGGGGAAUAUUGCACAAUGGGCGAAAGCCUGAUGCAGCAACGCCGCGUGAGUGAUGAAGGCCUUCGGGUUGUAAAGCUCUGUCUUUUGGGACGAUAAUGACGGUACCAAAGGAGGAAGCCACGGCUAACUACGUGCCAGCAGCCGCGGUAAUACGUAGGUGGCAAGCGUUGUCCGGAUUUUACUGGGCGUAAAGGAUGCGUAGGCGGAUUUUUAAGUGAGAUGUGAAAUACCCGGGCUUAACUUGGGUGCUGCAUUUCAAACUGGGAAUCUAGAGUGCGGGAGAGGAGAAUGGAAUUCCUAGUGUAGCGGUGAAAUGCGUAGAGAUUAGGAAGAACACCAGUGGCGAAGGCGAUUCUCUGGACCGUAACUGACGCUGAGGCAUGAAAGCGUGGGUAGCAAACAGGAUUAGAUACCCUGGUAGUCCACGCCGUAAACGAUGAGUACUAGGUGUAGGAGGUAUCGACCCCUUCUGUGCCGCAGUUAACACAAUAAGUACUCCGCCUGGGAAGUACGAUC
rnacentral:rRNA from 1 species